UUAGAAUUUUUGGGCGAGACGAAAUCGAGACAUCAGGAGAAUGAACAAAUACGACACUACGUCGACAAAUCACUUGCCAUUCUUUCUUCUCAAUUGGAACAAAAAUUUAAUACUCUCGAGCAGAAACUAAUUAAGUGUGAAAAUCAAAUAAGUCAACCCUAAGUAACGAAUCAUUGGAGCUAAAAUAUGUAGAACUGGAACGCAAAUAUAAUCAGCUACAAACAGAGAACAAAGUUUUACAAACU
rnacentral:lncRNA from 1 species